UCGGGUUGUAAACCCCUUUUCUGGGGGAAGAAUAAGGUCGGGAGGGAAUGCCCGUCCGAUGACGGUACUCCAGGAAUAAGGAUCGGCUAACUUCGUGCCAGCAGCCGCGGUAAGACGAAGGAUCCGAGUGUUAUCCGGAAUUACUGGGCGUAAAGGGCGUCUAGGCGGCCAAGUAAGUCACCCGUGAAAGUCCGCGGCUUAACCGCGGAAUGCCGGGUGAAACUGCUUGACUUGGGUACAGGAGGAGAGGGUGGAACUCACAGAGUAGCGGUGGAAUGCGUAGAUAUUGUGAGGUACCCCGAUGGCGAAAGCAACCCUCUGGCCUGCUACCGACGCUGAAGCGCGAAAGCGUGGGGAGCAAAGGGGAUUAGAUACCCCCGUAGUCCACGCCGCAAACGAUGUUCACUUGGUGUCGGUCGCUGAUACAGAUCGGUGCCGGAGCUAACGUGUUAAGUGAACCGCCUGGGGAGUACGGCCGCAAGGCUAAAACUCAAGAGAAUUGACGGGGGCCCGCACAAGCGGUGGAGCACGUGGUUCAAUUCGAUGAUAAACGAAUAACCUCACCUGGGUUUGACAUGCUAGUAGUAGGAACCAGAAACGGGGACGACUUUCCCUUUCGAGGGAAGGAGCUAGCACAGGUGAUGCAUGGCUGUCGUCAGCUCGUGUCGUGGGACGUAGGGUUAAGUCCCGAAACGAGCGCAACCCCUGUCGUCAGUUGCCAGCGGGUAAUGCCGGGGACUCUGACGAGACUGCUGGUGAAUAGCCGGAGGAAGGAGGGGACGACGUCAAGUCAUCAUGUCCCUUAUGCCCAGGGCUACACACAUGCUACAAUGGAAGGUACAAUGGGUCGCGAAACCGUAAGGUGAAGCCAAUCUCAAAAAGCCUUCCUCAGUUCGGAUUGAGGUCUGUAACUCGACCUCAUGAAGCUGGAAUCGCUAGUAAUCGCAGGUCAGCUAUACUGCGGUGAAUAUGUACUCGGGCCUUGUACACACCGCCCGUCACACCAAUCGAGUGGGGGGUACCUGAAGUCGUUCUUCUGAGAGCGCCUAGGGUAACCUUCGUAAGAGGGGUG
rnacentral:rRNA from 1 species